rnacentral:rRNA from 1 species
UACGAAGGGUGCAAACGUUGCUCGGAAUCAUUGGGCGUAAAGCGCACGUAGGCGGCUUGCCAAGUCGGACGUGAAAUCCCUCAGCUCAACUGAGGACGUGCAUCCGAAACUGGCGAGCUUGAGUGCUGAAGAGGAUCGCGGAAUUCCCGGUGUAGAGGUGGAAUGCGUAGAUAUCGGGAGGAACACCAGUGGCGCAGGCGGCGUCCUGGACCGGCACUGACGCUGAGGAGCGAAAGCGUGGGGAGCGAUCCGG